rnacentral:rRNA from 1 species
ACCCCACUGCUAUCGGGAUAGGACUAAGACAUGCUAGUUGAGCGCUUCCAGCCAACACGGGAGCGCAGCGCACAGCUCAGUAACACGUGGCUAAUCUGCCCUUGGGACCGGAACACCCCCGGGAAACUGGGGCUAAUUCUCGAUAGGUGAAGAACUCUGGAAUGAGUCUUUGCUUAAAAGACGUUUGCGUUAUGCUCGUAGACGUCGCCCAAGGAUGAGGCCGCGACCGAUCAGGUUGUUGGUGAGGUAAUGGCUCACCAAGCCUUUUACCGGUGCGGGCCGUGAGAGCGGGAGCCCGGAGAUGGGCACUGAGACAAGGGCCCAGGCCCUACGGGGCGCAGCAGUCGCGAAAACUUUGCAAUACACGAAAGUGUGACAGGGCUAUCCCGAGUGCCAUCUGCUGAGGAAGGCUUUUACCCAGUCUAGAACGCUGGGGGAAUAAGGAGAGGGCAAGUCUGGUGUCAGCCGCCGCGGUAAUACCAGCUCUCCGAGUGGUGUGGAUGUUUAUUGGGCCUAAAGCAUCCGUAGCUGGCUAAGUUAGUCCCUUGUUAAAUCCACCGAAUUAAUCGUUGGAUUGCGGGGGAUACUGCUUGGCUAGGGGACGAGAGAGGCAGACGGUAUUUCCGGGGUAGGGGUGAAAUCCUAUAAUCCCGGGAAGACCACCAGUGGCGAAGGCUGUCUGCUAGAACGCGCCCGACGGUGAGGGAUGAAAGCUGGGGGAGCGAACCGGAUUAGAUACCCGGGUAGUCCCAGCUGUAAACGAUGCAGGCUAGGUGUUUGGACGGCCACGUGCCGUUCUAGUGCCGCAGGGAAGCUGUUAAGCCUGCCGCCUGGGGAGUACGAUCGCAAGAUUGAAACUUAAAGGAAU